rnacentral:rRNA from 1 species
UACGGGGGGGGCAAGCGUUGUUCGGAAUUACUGGGCGUAAAGCGCUCGUAGGCGGCCAACUAAGUCAUACGUGAAAUCCCUCAGCUUAACUGGGGAACUGCGUGUGAUACUGGAUGGCUUGGAUUUGGGAGAGGGAUGCGGAAUUCCAGGUGUAGCGGUGAAAUGCGUAGAUAUCUGGAGGAACACCGGUGGCGAAGGCGGCAUCCUGGACCAAUAUUGACGCUGAGGAGCGAAAGCCAGGGGAGCGAACGGG